UUCAUACCUCAAGUGCUUUAUCA
rnacentral:siRNA from 1 species